rnacentral:rRNA from 1 species
CGGAGAGUUUGAUCCUGGCUCAGGAUGAACGCUGGCGGCGUGCCUAAUACAUGCAAGUCGAACGCUUUGUGGUUCAACUGAUUUGAAGAGCUUGCUCAGAUAUGAUGAUGAACAUUGCAAAGAGUGGCGAACGGGUGAGUAACACGUGGGAAACCUACCUCUUAGCAGGGGAUAACAUUUGGAAACAGAUGCUAAUACCGCAUAACAACUUGGACCGCAUGGUCCGAGUUUGAAAGAUGGCUUCGGCUAUCACUUUUGGAUGGUCCCGCGGCGUAUUAGCUAGAUGGUGAGGUAACGGCUCACCAUGGCAAUGAUACGUAGCCGACCUGAGAGGGUAAUCGGCCACAUUGGGACUGAGACACGGCCCAAACUCCUACGGGAGGCAGCAGUAGGGAAUCUUCCACAAUGGACGAAAGUCUGAUGGAGCAACGCCGCGUGAGUGAAGAAGGGUUUCGGCUCGUAAAACUCUGUUGUUAAAGAAGAACAUAUCUGAGAGUAACUGUUCAGGUAUUGACGGUAUUUAACCAGAAAGCCACGGCUAACUACGUGCCAGCAGCCGCGGUAAUACGUAGGUGGCAAGCGUUGUCCGGAUUUAUUGGGCGUAAAGCGAGCGCAGGCGGUUUUUUAAGUCUGAUGUGAAAGCCUUCGGCUCAACCGAAGAAGUGCAUCGGAAACUGGGAAACUUGAGUGCAGAAGAGGACAGUGGAACUCCAUGUGUAGCGGUGAAAUGCGUAGAUAUAUGGAAGAACACCAGUGGCGAAGGCGGCUGUCUGGUCUGUAACUGACGCUGAGGCUCGAAAGUAUGGGUAGCAAACAGGAUUAGAUACCCUGGUAGUCCAUACCGUAAACGAUGAAU